CUUUUGUAUUAGCAACCAACUGACGAAAACAUGUUUGAGAACUAUCUAACCCACGUCCAUUCCGCAUCCACAAAUUACUCAAAAUAUUUAUGAAACUUUUUCUUCAAAUAAUUUCAUGUCAAUCUCUCCACUCAAUAUCAAUUCUCACUAAAUCUUUCACCAACAAGAUCUUGUCAACAACUGUUUGUUUCUGAUUAAAGGAGUUCCUAUAUGUAAAAGUUUCAACAUCUUCAAAGUGUUGGGGCUCGAUUUUGAUUAGAACACGAUGUGAUUUCGCUUUAAAAAGAAUUCUGAGUGACUGUUGUUAAUACUUCAUCAGUUACAGGAGUUUUAUACGAAAUGGUUUCGGGAAUAAAUAUUAUGUUCAUUCUAUGGAUUCUCUCGCCAAUGGACAGAUUGAGAUGGCUUCUAUCAGAACGUUAUAUUUUUAAAGAAGCAAUUGUAUGAGGAGGAAACAUUCCAUUGAUGGUUUUAAAGAUUUCUUAGACCAGGCUAACUGUCCACGAAGAUAUGGCGGCUAUUAUCGAGGGUAAAUACCACCUUUGGAGAAGGCGAAUGCGAUCCUGACUAUCUCAACUUCCAUCCAGUAUUCAACCAGGGGAGACUUUUCUAUCAUUAUGGAUGAGAAGUUAACAUACGUUGUAGGCUACAAUUUAUAGCAGGAUGAUGCAAUGGACGAGAUGACCAUCACCAACAUCCUAUAAUAUUUUCUUUGUCUUAUGCAGGCCCUAUAGAAGUGCACUAGACUGCUACUUCAGAAUUAACCUAUUUCAUUAGUGGCCUAAGGAUCAGAUUAACCGUUAUAUACCAUCGAUGAUUAUAAGUGAUUUUUUUAGUUAAUAAGAUAAGUAUUGGUGCUUAUAUCAGCUGAACAGUGGAGAUAAUUGAGGCGUUAGCAUUAACAAUCAAUCAGUACCGGCAAGGAGGAACACUACUAUUUUUGCCAGUUUGCAUUCAGAUUAUUGUAUAAUUGACGAAGGUUGAUCACUUACACAAGCAAGCUACACAACUACACAGCUUGGAACAUUUAGGUAAGAUUAUAUUUCUACUUAAAUGCUAAUAACAGUGUCAUUUUGGAGAUAAUCUAUACAAUGUUGCAUCAUUAAAUUGUCAAAUUCAUUGAUUAAUCGGAUAUUGAGAUGCAAAUGUACCACUGAUAAUGACAGGGAGCUACUACAUCUGUGUUAUAAGAAUCUUGCUUUUCUUUAGAGUUGUCGAAUGGGCGCAUGCAGGUUGGUAGUCUAGUUGAUUUAGCUCUUAACCGUAUGCUGGCUGAUGCCAAUUUUCCUGUUGUACACCAAUGACAUCCACAAAUGCUUUCUAGCUACUAUAUGGUACUGUUCCAGGUGAAGAAGUUUUCACACUUAAAAAUGGUACAAGUCCAGUGAUUCCAAGAGUUACGAUGUUAAAAUACGCAUUAAGUUUGUGUUAGAAAUAAUGGUCAAGUCGAUGUUGAAGUUUUCACACUUAAAAAUGUUAUAAGGAACUUGAUAGGUUUAUCGCUCAAGUUAGUGUUAGAAAUAAUGGUCAAGUUGAUGUUGCAUCAGUGACGGAGUUUGCGAGAUCAAUCUUUUCUUAGAAGGGUUGCAAGGCUUUCAAAAGAGAUUCAAAAUCAUAAUGGAUUUAUGUAUUUCACCGUGGGACACUUCGUCUCAUUGAGCUUUGUUAAGAUUUUAAAGUUUCAUUUUUGGUUGUUCUUAUUUCCUUCUUCUCUCUGGAGUCUUUGUAAGUCGCUGUGUCUUUGUAAACUCUUUUUACCCUUGAUCUAAAAUUAAAUUGAAGCAAAAUUUGUGUUAUAAUC